rnacentral:rRNA from 1 species
CCCUCCCCCUUUCUUCAUGCCUAACACAUGCAAGUCGAACGAGACCUUCGGGUCUAGUGGCGCACGGGUGCGUAACGCGUGGGAACCUGCCCUUAGGUUCGGAAUAACUCCCCGAAAGGGGUGCUAAUACCGGAUAAUGUCUUCGGACCAAAGAUUUAUCGCCUUUGGAUGGGCCCGCGUUGGAUUAGCUAGUUGGUAGGGUAAAAGCCUACCAAGGCGACGAUCCAUAGCUGGUCUGAGAGGAUGAUCAGCCACACUGGGACUGAGACACGGCCCAGACUCCUACGGGAGGCAGCAGUGGGGAAUAUUGGACAAUGGGCGAAAGCCUGAUCCAGCAAUGCCGCGUGAGUGAUGAAGGCCUUAGGGUUGUAAAGCUCUUUUACCCGGGAUGAUAAUGACAGUACCGGGAGAAUAAGCGCCGGCUAACUCCGUG